UAUUCAGCUGGGACACAUUCUUAAGUGCUCUCAAGAUGUCCAAGGUUUGAAGACAGUAACUCUUUCUUUAGGAAAAGGGAAAAGGUUUGACAGCUACAUAACUGCAUUAGGGACAUUCUUUCUAAUGAUUUAUGUGUUUUCCCUUAUUUCACAGACAUGUCAGGGUGCAGAGGCUCUGAAUAGUCUUCAUGUUGGUGUUGUGUGGCAGGGUGAGAAUUCUCCUCUUGGGCAAGGGAGAAAAACAGAUGCUGAAAAGACUUGUGGAUCAAGAGAAAGACAGUUUCAAAAGAAAAGAAAAAGCUGUUCAUGCUAACAAAGUAAGAAGAGGAAUUAAUUCACCAGUUCCCAUUGGCAGAAAGGCAUUCAAUGUCCUGGGAUACAAGACCUCAGCUUACAUAACUUAUCUGCUGUGCUGGCUGCAUCAAAUCCCUGCCUCUUGCCCACUUGGAGCCUACUAACUCUGGAGAAGCAAGGGAGAGAGAGAAGGCUUUGACACUGCAAGCACUGUUUGGUACCUAAACCACCAGUAUGUUAUCAGCACUGUAUUAGCCUUAAAUGUAAAAUACUGUAGUUUACAAGCUGCUAUGAAGAAAGUUGACUUCAUAACUUCAUUCCAGCCAGUGCCAGUACAAGCAUUCUUUCAAAAUGCUUCUCAUUAGGCCUACACCUGAUUGCAGCUAAUAAUAACAUGUGAUGGAUUAUACGUAGAAGUGACAUUUUUUAUCACCAGAAUACUCUGCUUUAGAUGGAUGCUAUUGUCUCUCUUAUAAGAAUUUCAUGAGUAUUCAUCUACUGAUUUGAAGGUGUAAUUUCAUCACUCUACAAUUAUUUAUGAAGUGGCUUGUCGGCCUACCACAAAAAUGAUGUCACUGAGACAGAAUUUUAUGUGCAGCUAAAAAAAUAUG